AUUGAACGCUGGCGGCAGGCCUAACACAUGCAAGUCGAGCGAGCGGCGGACGGGUGAGUAAUGUAUGGGGACUGCCCGAUAGAGGGGGAUAACUACUGGAAACGGUAGCUAAUACCGCAUACUAUCGGAUAACCCAUAUGGGAUUAGCUAGUAGGUGAGGUAAUGGCUCACCUAGGCGACGAUCCCUAGCUGGUCUGAGAGGAUGAUCAGCCACCCUGCGCCUGAGACACGGCCCAGACUCCUCCGGAGGCAGCAGUUGGGAAUCUUGCACACUCGGCGCAAGCCUGAUGCAGCCAUGCCGCGUGUAUGAAGAAGGCCCUAGUGUUGUAAAGUACUUUCAGUCGGGAGGCGUUACCGACAGAAGAAGCACCGGCUAACUCCGUGCCAGCAGCCGCGGUAAUAC
rnacentral:rRNA from 1 species